AGAGCUUCUGGACAUCAGAACAGCAAUCACCAAUGUCGAUUUGGAUGAAGAUAUCUAUAGGACACCCCUGACCAGGUCCUAAUCCCCAAGACUCGGAAAAGGAAGAUGUGGCGUAAGACAGGCCGACGUGUGGGCACCUUGAUGAAACUACAUCAAAGACUCAUGAAACAUGGGACCAACACUGUACAUUUUGCCACUGACCCCAGACUGGAGACCUUCGUUGCGGGCCCAGGACUGGGCACCCUCGCUGUGGGCCCCGGACUGGGCACCCUCGUUGCGGGCCCCGGACUGGGCACCCAUGUGUGUCAGGUCAACUCAGUCUGGUGCCUGAUCCACUGCUGUCGACCUCGGCCCGGCACCGGCGAGCCUUAACCUUGGAUCCCCCCCAACCCUCCAGGAGGCGUGUGGAUAGGGGGAGUGGGGCUAAGGCCUGAGGUGUGUGGAGAAAGCAAGGACCUGCCACAUUAUAUGCUUUAACAUGACUGGCAAAUCCACCGCGGUUAAACAAACUUAACCUUCAUUUGUGAAACGGUGCAAAUCAAAGGGCAAAAAAGGACUUGUGCUGGUAAUUACCGCUGGGGGAGAGCAACAGGGGAUUCAAGGAUGGAGGAAGGAGAGAGGUGAGCGCCGGGAGAUAGAGAGGGGAGAAUACAAAAAGAAGGGGAAUCAUUUAAGGAGAAGACGCAUUUGUAAUGAGUUUGCCCAGAAAUGGAUUUUCCGCUGUAAUCUUUUAUUUAUAUGCAGGCUGGUCUCCCUCCCCGGCAGUGUGAGGGUCAGUCCUCUGUGAACCCUGUCAGGACCCCACUCCGUCAAACACCCAAAGACCAGGGAAAAUGGUAUUUUAGCAAAGGCAAACAUUGUCCUGUCUUGGCUUAAGGGGCGAAAUAGCUGUUUAUUUUUAAAAACUUGUUCCCCUCUAUCCAUCAUGCCAGAAAUUCUGUCAGGAGGAAGGAAGACAGGAGCAAAUUGAAAUUGGAACUAAGUUUAGACAGUUAUCAUCAUAAUUAUCCAAUUAAUAUUAAUGGAGUAGAGUGUCAUUAGAGCAUCUCAAUUAGGCAGAGAGUAUUUGGUUAGCAAGCAACCACCAGCAGAACAACUUGGAGGAAUGGCUGUGUAUGGUAGAAUGCAGUACUACUUGUGAAGGAGUGGCUUUCACUAAACAUUCACACUGUUUUACUUGAUUUAUAUUAUUACUAUUGGCAAUUGUAAUUUAAUGAGGGGGUUGUGAUUGCGUUUUGUAUAUUUCAUCUUCCGUAAAGUAAUAUCUUUUAUAGGUGUCUCUGAGGAAUGAGAUGUUCAAUCUUAAAGGGAUUGUUUAUAUUAGGCUACAUAUUUUGAUUGUCUCAGACGGAAUGGAAUAGAUGGAUCAUACACAGGUCAUAAUUACUGAGCUCAUUAAAUGUGUUAGGUUUGUGUCCACCGUGGUGAGCCACUAUUUCAGCCAGCCAAUGUUCUUCUGUGCAUUAAAAUGAUGAAAUAGAUUGCAUACGCAUAUAAAUAGAUCACAUAUAGGUGAUCCAAUAUCUAGCUAUAUUACUCAGUAUCCUAACAUAAUAAACACAUUCAACAUCG
ensembl:lncRNA